rnacentral:rRNA from 1 species
UACGUAGGGUGCAAGCGUUAAUCGGAAUUACUGGGCGUAAAGCGUGCGCAGGCGGUUUUGCAGGACAGAUGUGAAAUCCCCGGGCUCAACCUGGGAAUUGCAUUUGUGACUGCACGGCUAGAGUGUGUCAGAGGGGGGUAGAAUUCCACGUGUAGCAGUGAAAUGCGUAGAGAUGUGGAGGAAUACCGAUGGCGAAGGCAGCCCCCUGGGAUAACACUGACGCUCAUGCACGAAAGCGUGGGGAGCAAACAGG